rnacentral:rRNA from 1 species
UGGGGAAUAUUGGGCAAUGGGCGCAAGCCUGACCCAGCAACGCCGCGUGAAGGAAGAAGGCUUUCGGGUUGUAAACUUCUUUUAUGAGGGACGAAGGAAGUGACGGUACCUCAUGAAUAAGCUCCGGCUAACUACGUGCCAGCAGCCGCGGUAAUACGUAGGGAGCGAGCGUUAUCCGGAUUUACUGGGUGUAAAGGGCGUGUAGGCGGGGAAGCAAGUCAGAUGUGAAAACCAGUGGCUCAACCACUGGCCUGCAUUUGAAACUGUUUUUCUUGAGUGAUGGAGAGGCAGGCGGAAUUCCGUGUGUAGCGGUGAAAUGCGUAGAUAUACGGAGGAACACCAGUGGCGAAGGCGGCCUGCUGGACAUUAACUGACGCUGAGGCGCGAAAGCGUGGGGAGCAAACAGG